AGCGAGGUUGAAGGAGCGAGGCUGGAAGUCAUGAUCCCCCACAAGCACGCUCAGAUCCUUGACGCCACCCAAGAUCGGCAGCAAUGGCAAGACACGCUCCAUCACGUUGGCGGAGUUCCGGAAGGAGUUCCCGAGCGUGAUUGACCUUAGCUUGUUCGACGAGUGGCUCAAACCACAGUAUCGCACACGUCCAUGCAACCACACCCACUCAACGUUCCAGGUAGACGGCCGCAGCUCCACGCACGGCAUGGAGACGGAGCUGAUGAAGAGCCAGCGGAGGUUGGGCAUGUCAAUGAACGUUGGCACCACCGCCACCACCGCAGUCGUCUAUCUCCAGGCAAUCGCGGCUGUGGCUGGUGAGAGGAGAAGUACCGGGCGCGUCCAUCACGAGCGUUCCCAGCCAAAAGUAGACGAGGGAGGUGGAGCUGCUGCAUGGCAGAAACAGUGAAGCUUGUCCUCCUGAUGUCGCAGAAGAGGAGAUUGAGCAGCGGCGGUGGAGUCAUGGUGGUGCCAACAUCGGCAUAGAUGUGGAGGCAGCGCAGCUCCUGGCACGCCGAGACGCUGGACCAAAAGUCUUCAAACUUUAGCCUUGCUGUGCCCCAGAUGCUAAGCGAGUGGACAGUUUUCCCCCAGCGAGUGGAGCACACAUUCUUUCAGACGCGUGGGAAGCGCUUGAUUUCCAAGAAGCGGAGGUUGCUACCCUGAUCUGGAUGGAACCAGCGGACGAGUCCCUCCUCGGCCGCAGGGCUUGACGAAUCCAGGCGGAAGUGAGUGACCCGCCUCGCCAAAUCCUUCCACCUCUUGCUUACCAGGGCACAGCAAUGCAAGUGACGCGAGGAGAGGAGUCGCGCCAAAAUCCGCACCAGCAACUCAUCCGGGAGGUCGUCCAAACGCCGCCGCUGCUCCUUGAUGCUGCUAGCCAUCGAGUGAAGAAACCCUAGGCUGUGUGUCGCACACGUGGCAGACACGUGUCCUCACGGGCAAAAGUUUGGACAAGUAGAGUAUUUGGAGGUGACUUACAAUAUCACGAGAUUUAAAGUAUUGUAUUAAUAUUAAAUUCAGAAAUCCAAAAUAAAGUCCUCUCUACUAGCACCUGGUGAUCAUUCGUUUCAAGUUUAGAGAAACAAAGAAAAUACCUUGAAGAUUAAGGUCUAACGAAACAAAGUCUAUGUGGAUUUGAGUGGGGCACCUGGGAAGAAGCGCGAGAAGCUCCGUGAACCGCUCUGGGCCUGAGAGAUCAAGAGACACGACGUGCUUGAGAAACAAGUACCUAGCUUAUGGAUAUUUUCUCUGGAAUCAUGUUGGCGAGGUAGAGUGCUACGCAGGACGUGGGCGUGGAGCGCGGGAUUCCGCGGGUCGCCAUACAGCCAGAAGCCGCUCCGUGGCAGCCACGUUGGCAGACACGCUGGCAAUUGUAAGAACAAAAAAGUGCAUUGCUUCGCUGCGAUCGUGUUACAAAAGAAAGAUCGAGCCUUUCUCCCGUUCAUCACUCACGAUGAGUCGGUUUAUUCACCUCUUCCUCGCUUCCAGCCGGCUUCUGAUCGUGCUCCUUCGAAUCGGUGUCUUCUUCCUCCUCCUUGGUGCCGGUGGAUUCCUGGGCGAUUUCCUCAUCGCCGAUUUCCUCAUCCUGCUCCUCCAUCUGCUCCUCCAUCGAGAAGUUGUCACCCACUCUGGCCUUUGGAUCGUCGACAGGAGGGGCUGGAGGGGCUGCCUGAUCGCGCUCUUCUUCUUCACCCCCCCCGUCCUCUACAAAACAAACAGCAGGAAAGCCAAGAUUUUGGUACCUUCGUUGUCCGGAUCCAGCAAGAAGUCGAAGAUCCCAGAGCCUUUGCUCUUCGUGGACAGGAAUCGGCGAUGGCGAUCAAGAAGCAUCGAAGAGGGUGGAGCGCCAACGUGAUUGUGGGGAGCGAUUGUUGCAUGAGAGCCAGCGAAGACGAUCCGCUUGGUAGCAGCAGCACGAGCACAACGCAGGGAGAAUGCGAGCAUCUUGAGAGCCAUUGUGCUCGAUCGAUCGCAACGCAACAGAGAGAAACAAGAGGGAUGAAUGGCCGUGGCCAGAUUUUUUUAUACUUGUGAAUGAGCCAGAGCGUGAGAUAAAAAAGAUCAAAAAGGUUACGCUCAUCAUAAUCUAGUUUUCUUGUUUUCUUUUAAUAACAAUAAGGUUUCUUGUUCUUUUUUCUUUUAAUAAAGUGGUAUUAAGUGAUACUAAAAAUCUGGCAAGAAUCUCUUUAUACUUGUGAAUGAGCCACUGGUUCAUUCACAAAGUACGUGUUACGUACUACUAGUGCUAGCGUGAGAGAUUUGUGAUAAGAUUUAUUGUUUUUCUUUUAAUAAAGUGGUAUUAAGCGAUACUAAAAAUCCUUGUAUUUCAUCCUUGAUUGUCCAGAAUCUUUUUAUACUUGUGAAUGAGCCACUAUAAAGUACGUGUUACGUACUACUUGUGAUAAGAUUUCUUGUUUUCCUUGGUAUUAAGCGAUAUUAAAAAUCCUUGUAUUUCAUCGUUGAUUGUGGCCCGAAUAUUCUUAUACUUGUGAAUGAGCCACUGGUUCAUUCACAAGGACGUACUACUAGUGCUAGCGAUUUCUUGUUUUUCUUUUUGGUAUUAAGCGAAACUAAAAAUCCUUGUAUUGAUCCUUGAUUGUGACCUGAACCUUUUUAUACUUGCGAGUGAGCCACUGGUUCAUUCACAAAGUACGUGUUACGUACUACUAGUGCUAGCGUGAGAGCUUGUGAUAAGAUUUCUUGUUUUUCUUUUUAAUAAAGUGGUAUUAAGCGAAACUAAAAUUCCUUGUAUUGAUCCUUGAUUCUGGCCUGAAUCUUUUUAUACUUGUGAGUGAGCCACCGGUUCAUUGACAAAGUACGUGUUACGUACUACUAGUGCUAGUGUGAGAGCUUGUGAUAAGAUUUCUUGUUUUUCUUUUUAAUAAAGUGGUAUUAAGCGAAACUAAAAAUCUUUGUAUUGAUCCUUGCUUGUGGCCUGAAUCUUUUUAUACUUGUGAAUGAGCCACUGGUUCACUCACAAAGUACGUUUGUAGGCAAAAAAGAUAAUCAAGAAUACAGUUCCCGACGUCGAGUCUAAGUCAGGAACGCGUUCUUCACCGAUGUGUCUUAUCUUUCAUCUCUUUGGAGGCCAGCCCAGAAUGCGUGACAAGGACGAUGGCAGCGUCAUGACAUACAAAGUUCUUGGAGCAAUCGUGAGACAAUACCAGCAAGCCUUCCACUCAGGCAUCCUGCGAUCCUAAAAAUUCUCCUGUUGUUCUCAGGUUGAAAGUUCUUAAGUUUUGUUGUCACUGCCAAGCACAGCCUUCAAAUGCGGAUGUUUCCAUAGAAUGCAUGUGUUUGCACCAGUGCUGGAUUGCUGUGUAUGGAGGCUCCGACUUGAAUCUAGCCUCCUGGGUGCGCCACAGCAUCCGACACUGCGCAGGCACAUCAAAGAGCAACGGAUGUACCUUGAUACGACCAGGAAAAGCUUGCGAGAGCACCUCAAAAGCGGCAGGAACUUGUGGCCGGAAGUCAGGAGGCUCAUAUCUGUAAACGAAGCCUCUCAAAUCGAGCAGCCUCACGCACUCGCUGCUCCUCAUGAGUUCCCACAGAAAAUCUAUGUCGUCGCUCUCCCAGAUGCCACCACUCUCGCUCCUGAAUGCUGCCUCGAUGAACACCAUCAAGGGCGAUUGUCUGCUGCUCCACUUGUCCAGGCUCAGCGCCUGCAAAGAAAGAAAAACAUAAGCGAAUCAGUGAAAGUGAGUUAAACACGAAUCAACUUACCUUGAUGCUUGUACGAGCAAUUCUCAAGACCUCGAGUCCAUGGAAGAGCUCUAGAAAGGCUGCGAGCUUAAAGGAGCGAAGCUGGAAGUCGUGAUCCCCCACAAGCAAGCUCAACUCCUUGACGCCACCCAAGCUUGGCACCAAUGGCAACACACGCUCCAGCACAUUGGCGGGGCUCCGGAAGGAGUUGCUGAGCGUGAUCGACUUUAACUUGUUCAAUGAGUGACACAGUCCCUGGUGGCGAACACGUCCAUGCAACUGCACCCCCUCGAUGUUGCAUGUCGAGGGCCGCAGCUCCACGCACGGCCCUGAGCUGACAGUGAGCCACCGGAGAUUGGGCAUGUCAAUGGC
rnacentral:lncRNA from 1 species